GGAGUUAGCCGGUGCUUCUUCUGUGAGUGAUGUCCUUCCUGCCGGCUAUUAACCCGCAGGCCUUCUUCCUCACUGAAAGUGCUUUACAACCCGAAGGCCUUCUUCACACACGCGGCAUGGCUGGAUCAGGGUUGCCCCCAUUGUCCAAUAUUCCCCACUGCUGCCUCCCGUAGGAGUCUGGGCCGUGUCUCAGUCCCAGUGUGGCUGAUCAUCCUCUCAGACCAGCUACGGAUCGUCGCCUUGGUGAGCCGUUACCUCACCAACCAGCUAAUCCGACAUAGGCUCAUCCGAUAGCGCGAGGCCCGAAGGUCCCCCGCUUUCCCCCGUAGGGCGUAUGCGGUAUUAGCCUGGGUUUCCCCCAGGUUAUCCCCCACUACCGGGCAGAUUCCUAUGCAUACUCACCGUCCGCCGCUCGCCACCAGGGAGCAAGCUCCCCGUGCUGCCGCUCGACUUGCAUGUGUUAGGCCUGCCGCCAGCGUUCAAUCUGAGCCAGAAUCGAACCCUGA
rnacentral:rRNA from 1 species